GCCAAAUGAUGCAAAACAAAUUAUUGCUGAGAUUUCUUUGAGGACUUACAAAAUCGAGCUUUUUAAAACUGAUGGCU